UACGUAGGGUGCAAGCGUUGUCCGGAAUUAUUGGGCGUAAAGAGCUCGUAGGCGGUUUGUCGCGUCUGCUGUGAAAACCCGAGGCUCAACCUCGGGCCUGCAGUGGGUACGGGCAGACUAGAGUGCGGUAGGGGAGAUUGGUAUUCCUGGUGUAGCGGUGGAAUGCGCAGAUAUCAGGAGGAACACCGGUGGCGAAGGCGGAUCUCUGGGCCUUACCUGACGCUGAGGCGCGAAAGCUAGGGGAGCGAACAGG
rnacentral:rRNA from 1 species